rnacentral:SRP_RNA from 1 species
CAGGAAGGAAGCAGCCAUGGUGGAACUGUGAGGGUGUGGGAU